UACGUAGGGCGCGAGCGUUGUCCGGAAUUAUUGGGCGUAAAGAGCUCGUAGGCGGCCUGUUGCGUCUGCUGUGAAAUCCCGGGGCUUAACCCCGGGCGUGCAGUGGAUACGGGCAGGCUGGAGGCAGGCAGGGGAGAAUGGAAUUCCCGGUGUAGCGGUGAAAUGCGCAGAUAUCGGGAGGAACACCAGUGGCGAAGGCGACUAUCUGGGCUGCAACUGACGCUGAGGCGCGAAGGCUAGGGUAGCAAACAGG
rnacentral:rRNA from 1 species